GGGCUCCACCUCCGGUCCCCUGUUUCUUUCGAAAUAGGGGCCCGGAGGGGGCCCUUUUUAUUUUUGCAUUUUUUGUGUCUCCCCGGCCUCCACCUCCUCCGUGCGGAGGCUCUCCGGCUUCUGCUGGCCAACCUCUCUCUUUCUUUCUCUCCCUCCCUCCCCCACUCUCUCUCUCUCUUUUCCUCUCUUGUUCUUUCUCUCCCCCAUCUCUUCUAUUGUGUCGGUACGGGCCCGACACAGUAUGGUGUGGGCCCGUACCGACUCGUCCUGCCGGACAACCAGUACAGUGCCCUACCAGUUCCAGGCAACGUUGAAUCUACUACCUAAUAUUUCCUUUUAACCAUGGCAUCAAAAGUGAGGUCAUUCUCCACGACAUCUACCAAAAGGAGGCUCAUAAUUUUGGAC